GAAGAAGUCUUAGAUUCAAGGUAGCACCAAAAUAGGUUGGAAUGUCUUGUUCAUUAAGAUGGAUAUGAUAUUAGCAAAUGUACAUGGGAGCCAACAAAGAAUCUUGCAAAUGCAAUAAAAAAGGUUAAGGCAUUUUAUUGACAAUAUCCAUCAAAAUUAAGAUAAAAAAUUGUAAAGAUCUAUGAAAGAUAAUGACUACUCUUCAUGAAACUUAUCCCUAAAAGAGGGGAAACCACGUAUUGGUAGCUUGUAGAAAAAGUUAAUUCCAUGUAGUAGCUUUAGAACAAGUUAAUUCUAUGUAAUAGCUU
rnacentral:lncRNA from 1 species